rnacentral:rRNA from 1 species
CUACGGGAUGCACCAGUGGGGAAUAUUGCACAAUGGGCGCAAGCCUGAUGCAGCCAUGCCGCGUGUAUGAAGAAGGCCUUCGGGUUGUAAAGUACUUUCAGCGGGGAGGAAGGGAGUAAAGUUAAUACCUUUGCUCAUUGACGUUACCCGCAGAAGAAGCACCGGCUAACUCCGUGCCAGCAGCCGCGGUAAUAUGGAGGGUGCAAGCGUUAAUCGGAAUUACUGGGCGUAAAGCGCACGCAGGCGGUUUGUUAAGUCAGAUGUGAAAUCCCCGGGCUCAACCUGGGAACUGCAUCUGAUACUGGCAAGCUAGAGUCUCGUAGAGGGGGGUAGAAUUCCAGGUGUAGCGGUGAAAUGCGUAGAGAUCUGGAGGAAUACCGGUGGCGAAGGCGGCCCCCUGGACGAAGACUGACGCUCAGGUGCGAAAGCGUGGGGAGCAAACAGGAUUAGAUACCCUUGUAGUC